UUAAACUGUAGCUCAAAAAAAAAAAAAAAAAAAGCAAAAAAAAGCAAUAUAAACACAUUGCAAAUUGCUCAAUAAGCUGAUUCUUGUAUUUUAUGUAACUUCCCCUUACCAAUACCUGUGGUACUGUCUCCCUUUUUUAAACCAACUAAUAUUAAUUUUGUUUCUCUAUUGAAUAGAAAUCAGUAGAAAUGUGUAAUUAUGUUGUUCAACCUAAAUAACGAGGUAUGGUCAUAGCUAAAAACAUGAGACUUUUUGUAAAUUAAAGUGGUCAGGUUUAGCACUUUUGAUUAUUUUGCUAUAAAACUAAAAAAUAAAUUUCAUUAAACUAAUAUCCAGUGCUGCUAGACCUUUAGAAAAUAUUUCUUUAUUGCAAUCAAGAUAGCUUGUAUCUUUGACUCUGACUGCAUUAUAUUUCUAUUUUUGUAGAACAACCCCUGUGACAAUAACUGUGAUCACAUGUACUGCUGAUCUCUUACAAAAACCUCUGCAACCUCUGGACUUUGGUUUGAUAGUCCAACCCUCUGCAGCUUGAUUAACAGCUCUGUUAUUGAAAAAUCAUAGCAGACAGUUCUGCAGACACUCACUGUCACAGUCAGGUUGAGACAUAACUAUUAAUAAUAACUUGUGGAAGCAAAGCUAUGUGUAGUGUUUGCUGACUGAGCUUUGGGAUUACAAAUCUUCAUGAAAAAGCAGGUGCCAGGUGUCCCCUGCCUGUGGCUGAGGUGUUGAUUCUGAUACUCUUGUGUUGUAGAGGUCUUCCAGCUCUUCUCAGUUAAUGGAUUAUUGAGGGGCUUGGAUUAUUGAGUCCCAAUUGAAACAAACCAUAAUGUGAUUUCUUCUUCUUGAAGGAUAAGUGGUGCUGAGCUGAGUCACAGGUUUCCACCCCGGUGUGUAUGAGAAGGCAGAGAGGCUGCAUGGAGCCCUCUUUCUGUUUUUUCUCUCUUUUGUUUUCCCCCUUACUUUUUCCAGACUCAAAAGGGCUGGGUGUGAGUUUUGCUUUCCACUACCAAGAUGGGACAGGCCUAUGUCUUCUCUUUGCCCUCAGAGCCUCUGGACAGUUUUGGUGCUGCUGCUGCAGAGCCCACCUGCCAAAGAGAUGCUGCAGGGGCUUCCUUCUGCAGCUCAUCCUGAAUCCCUACCCUUCUCCUGCUGAAACCACCCAGGAAUUCUGGCUUGCCACCAUUUCCUCUGCCCUCCAUGCUUUAAGCUUGUUACAUCCAUAACUUAUCCCUGGAUUUGCAAGCUGCACCUCGUGUUUUAAAUAGAAUGAGCUAUAUGUGCAGGAGGGGAUGUUUGGGGUCAGUAUUUGCGUUGCCACACUCCGUGGUUACCAGACGCUAUAAUAAAAUCACUUGCAUCAGAGGAAAGCUGACAACACAUUUUAGCACUUCCAUAGCCCUCACUUAAUCACGGCAGGAAGCUUUCCUGCUGCUAGGAGAACAUGUUGCGUCACCACAACAUCUGACACCGGUGUCUAGUGUCAAUCACUUUGCUUAAGGUCAUUAAAAAUAUUAGGGUGUCCUCUUACGAUGUACAGGUUUUGCAUGAGUGACAAUUCAUGGGAAAUGCAUAGCAUGAUAAAUAAUGGAACAGGUGGACUAAAGUGGUGUCUUUCCUGUUUAAAAUGAGAAAAGUGAUUGACAUCAGCAAAGCUGGAUAAGCUAAAUAGAGCUGUUCAUCUUUUUCCCUCCCUGGGAGCACAAUAGUUUUUCUGACUCCUUCUUCACCCUCCCCAUUUCUUUCUUCAUCAGUAGAAUUUUGGGGGCUGCUGAGGAGAGAGCUGCAGGGGUUGUAGUGAUGCAGUGAUUUCCACUACAUGUGGCAGUUUGGCUCCAUGAUUCCUAGGCUGAGCCCAGAGCAGGAUCUGCCACUGCCCUCUCCAGAAGUCUUUCCCACAUGUGGGUCCUCCUUUGGUCAUCACUGUGAUACAGCUGAGCUUGCUGUGGAAGGUACAAGCUGAGGUUCAGCUCAAAAUUAAAAAAUGAAAAGCCAAACCCAGUGGAAUGGAGACAAUGUGGGUUUUGGAGCAGUUUUUCUUCAGGGAGGGUAAGUAAGAGUGAGUAAGAAUUGCUCUGCUUCUACUAGAGAUGAUUUCCCUCUCCUUAUCUCUGCUCUCUUUGACUUUUGCAGUGCAUAGGCAAGGACACAGCAGAGUUCCUGGACCACCCUCUGCCUUGCUAAGUGGGGGCACCUGGGCAUUACCCAGCCAGUGAGCAGUGACAGACACAUUGCAGUGACCCUGGAUGUGAUCUCCUGGCACAGCAAAGCUUCAGGCACAGCAUGGUCUCCCACAGCACCACCAGAAUGGCUCUGGCUGAGAGGGGCUACUGAGCUCCUGAGUUGGAACAACACACCCUUUUCAGCCCUUAAAGCCCAACCAAAAUUUCUGCUUCAAAUUUUGAACCCCGUGACCUAAUCUGGAUUGAUUUGGAGUUUCAUGCCUGAGUGCUGGGUGCUGCAGUGCACCAAGCCUUUGAUACAAAACCAUCUGGAGCUCCACGGUUGCUGUUUGGUGUUUCCCAUGGGAAUCUGAGAAGCAGAAGGAUGCAGCCCUGUGGAGAUCAAAGUGACCUUCCCUUCUGGUGUGAAAAGGCUUUGAAUGCCACAAAUGGUGUUUCAGUUCUGGGAGAGGCUGGGUGGGAGCUGAUGCAAAUUUUAUUGUCACAAUUGCUUGUCUAUCCCUUCCUGAAAGCCCUGGCAGCACUGCACAAGCCAAACUGUCCUCACAAGGAUAGAAAAUUAUCUAAUGGAGGAAUUGCGCUGGUGCUCUGGGCAAAUGUUACAGCGAUCUUAAAUAAUAAUUUCAAAACCUAAGCACAGGAAAUUGUGUCUGUAACUACACCCUGUAUUGCUAUUGUACACAAGGACAGUUAUAGCCUGGGACUGUAUUCUAAAAUAAUAAUCAGAUUGGUAUGACAAUGCUUAGAUUUUGUUCAAGUCAAAACGCCCAGUUUACAAUUCCCCAGUCAUUUCAUGCGUUGUGGUUUGUACGUGACUCUGGCUGUAAUACCAUAAUUUUAAAAAAAAAUUAAAAAAAAAACAAAAACACGAGAGAGAGAAAGAGAGAAAGGUUAGUUUCAUGGACUUGUGUCAAGAAUUAAGUUUCUCUGCCAUGGACACUUGGGAGAGCUCCUGUUACCCAACACCAAAUGUACAGUAUUACUGCAGCUCCACAGAACAGGAACCAGCUCAGGGUGGAACGAAGAGAGGCCUGAGAGUCUCAUCAGCAUCCGGAAGAGUCAGACCAGGAGCAACCCUCUGGAAUAUCCCCUGUUCCUGCCUCAGCUUUGCUUAUGCAGAGUCAAAUCCAGGGUUACUGCUCCUUUGAUAUCUGAGAUGGAAGUUGUUGCAUAUUAUUAGCAGGUUUCACCUAAUUUGUUGUCACAAUGGCAAAAUAAGAAGAGCAGACAAAUAUUGGCAGCCAUCAUUUUGCACAGAUACUACCAGUACCUCUGAGCAUUGACAGACAUCAUUUUACUUUCAUAUUUCCAAUAGCUUUGAUGCCUGUAGUUUGUAUGACAUUUUAGCUAUAUCAAUAUAAAUAUUUGCCAGUCAUGAAGGGCUUUUAUAUAUUAAAGUACAUUACAUAUCAAGAAUUGCAGUGUAUAAUGUGAAAAAUAUAAAUUCUGGCAGAAAUCUAUGUGUAGACUAAAUCUUACAGGCUAAACCAUGUGGGAGAACAAUGGUCUUAAACUGUAAAAUCAGCUUGAAUUUUUUGAUUUUAUUCAGGUUGUUGAUGUCACUAUUAACAUGACACAGGACCUAAUCCUUCCUCUUGUGAGCAGCCAGUUGGAGUCCUUUUGCCCUGACUCUGUGCAUCCUAAAAUUUGCAUUUGUAGCAAACAUGGCAAUUUUGCAAAACACUUUUUUUGGAUUAAUUGCUUUUCCUCUUAACUCUUCUUCUGUGCUUUCUAUGCUAAUAGAAAAAUUACUGAACUUUAAAAACAGAAAAAGAGGAAAGAAAGAGAAGAACAUACAACUGCAGAUGUUGAACAUUGCAUUGAGUAAUUGAAGGUUAGUAAACAUGCCUUGUUGAUUGAAACUUUUAAAAAUAUAUAAGUCUUGUUUUUGAUAUA